rnacentral:tRNA from 1 species
CUAAAUAAUUUAUACAAAAUAUUUACCUUGAAAGUAAAAAAAGAAGUUUUCGUUAGCUUA